rnacentral:rRNA from 1 species
CAGCAGUGGGGAAUAUUGGGCAAUGGGGGAAACCCUGACCCAGCAACGCCGCGUGAAGGAAGAAGGCCUUCGGGUUGUAAACUUCUUUUAGCAGGGACGAAGGACGUGACGGUACCUGCAGAAAAAGCAACGGCUAACUACGUGCCAGCAGCCGCGGUAAUACGUAGGUUGCAAGCGUUGUCCGGAUUUACUGGGUGUAAAGGGCGUGUAGGCGGAGAUGCAAGUCAGGAGUGAAAUCCCGGGGCUCAACCCCGGAACUGCUUUUGAAACUGUAUCCCUUGAGUGUCGGAGAGGCAAGCGGAAUUCCUAGUGUAGCGGUGAAAUGCGUAGAUAUUAGGAGGAACACCAGUGGCGAAGGCGGCUUGCUGGACGAUAACUGACGCUGAGGCGCGAAAGCGUGGGGAGCAAACAGGAUUAGA